CGGGGUAGGGGUCGUCCUCAAAAGGGUUGGAGAGAGGGGGUAAAGGAGGUUUUGUGGGCAAGGGGCUUGGACUUCCAGCAAGCGUGCGUGAGCGUGUUAGAUAGGAGUGAAUGGAGACGAAUGGUACUUGGGACCUGAUGAUCUGUUGGAGUGUGAGCAGGGUAAUAUUUAGUGAAGGGAUUCAGGGAAACCGGUUAUUUUCAUAUAGUCGGACUUGAGUCCUGGAAAUGGGAAGUACAGUGCCUGCACUUUAAAGGAGGGGUGUGGGAUAUUGGCAGUUUGGAGGGAUAUGUUGUGUAUCUUUAUAUGUGUAUGCUUCUAAACUGUUGUAUUCUGAGCACCUCUGCAAAAACAGUGAUAAUGUGCGAGUGUGGUGAAAGUGUUGAAUGAUGAUGAAAGUAUUUUCUUUUUGGGGAUUUUCUUUCUUUUUUGGGUCACCCUGCCUCGGUGGGAGACAGCCGACUUGUUGAAAAAAAAAAAAAAAUCUCUUUUUUAACACUGGCUGUUUCCCACCAAGGUGGGUGACCCGAAAAAGAAACAUUCACCAUCAUUCACUCUAUCACUGUCUUGCCAGAGGUGUGCAGAUACUACAGUUCAGCUGCCCCUCCAAAUUGCAAAUAUCCCCAGCCCUCCUUCAGAGUGCAGGCACUGUAUUUCUCACCUCCAGGACUCAGAUCUAGCUAGUUAACUGGUUUCCUGAAUCCCUUCAAAAUAUGUUACCUUGCCUACACUCCAACAACUCGUCAAAACCCAAAAACCAUUCUGUCAAUAAUAAUUAGAGAUGCCUUUUGGGAAAAUAAUUUUAAGUACACUUUCCCUAUAAAAUGGAGAUUUUUGUCAAGUUUUGGAUCUUGUUGACAAAAAAUGUACUUGACCCAAAAUGUACAUGCAUGCUAGUGGCUUUCUUUGUGUUUAACAAUAUUUUAUUACAUGUAAACUACACUUUGUAUACAAACAAACAACUUUACCAAACAAAGAAAUAAAGUUGUUUGUUUUGUGUGAUAAAUACUACAUCCCUUUCCCCUCCUUUCCCCUAAAAGAAAAAAAAUGAUUUUCAGAACACUCAGCAUUAUUGGUAAGCUCAUGUGAUGACUUCAUCAAAGUGUGUUGGGGUUGGCAAUUUAGGAUUGCAAAAAUUAAGAAGAUAGAGUAUUCAUAAAAUGUUUAAUGUGCUUCUUGAAUGCUUUUUCUUGUUUGUCUCUUUUAUCAGAAUAUUUUAUUUCUUAACCCUUAAACUGUUCAAACAUAGAUCUAUGUUCACGUGCGCAGGGUUCCGAACGUAAAUCUGCGUUUUUUUUUACAUGCUUUCAAAUGGGGAAAAUAAAGGUUGGAGUACUAUGCACGUGAAUGUAGAUAUACAUUUGGACAGUUUAAGGGUUAAUAAUGCAUUUGAAGGAUGAAGUAUUGUUUGAAUAUGACAGAUUAAGUUUAGAGUGGAGAUGUCAUGUCUAAGGGCAAUGUGUGGUGUAAAUAUUAUGCAGAGAAUUCAUAGUGUGGAAAUUAGGAAGAGGUGUGGAGUUACUAAGAAGAGGGGUUAUUGAAGUAGUUUGGUCAUUUAGAGAGGAUGGAACAAAGUAGAAUGACUUGGAGAACGUAUAAAUCUGUAGGGGAAGGAAGGCGGGGUAGGGGUUGUCUUAAGAGAGGUUGGAGGAAGGGGGUAAAGGAUGUUUUGUAGACAAGGGGCUUGGACUUCCAGUAAGCAUGCAUGAGCGUGUUUGUGUCACGUUGUUGCAGGCGGGGUUCAAUGAUAAGGCUUCGGAGGCUUCUUACUUUAUUUGCGAUAUCGUGGGUACACAGGCAGUGUGUUUGUGCCCAUGGCCUGGGAGGGCCAUGCCCAGCGAGGGAGAGAGGAGUAGGCCGUGUUGACUGAGUGAAGGCCGCUGAGAGAGUGGUAGGGUGAUGCCGUAUCAAGUGGCAUGCCCACUGAGAGGCCUACAGGUGGCAGCACGAGCAUGGUGCGAAAUGUGAACUCAGCUGGCAGGCAGCAUAGGCUGUCUAUGCAGACAGUACAGGCUGUCUACAUGUUAGAUAGGAGUGAAUGGAGAUGAAUGGUUUUUGGGACCUGAUGAGCUGUUGGAGUGUGAGUAGGGUAAUAUUUUGCGAAGGGAUUCAAGGAAACUGGUCAGCCAGACUUGAGUCCUGGAAGUGGGAAGUACAAUGCCUGCACUUUAAAGGAGGGGUUUAGGAUAUUGGCAGUUUGGAGGGACAACUAAACUGUUGUAUCUGAGCUCCUCUGUGAAGACAGUAUGAAUGAUAGUGAAAGUUGAAUGAAGAUGGAAGUUUUUUCUUUCGUUUUGGGUCAUCCUGCCUUAAUGGGAAACGGCCGAUGUGUUAAAAGAAAAAUUAACCAUGAUCAACAAUGAAUUUAGGUGGUACAGAAAGAGGUCUGUUGCCUGCACUGUCUCCAGCUCCUCUUGUAUGUUGUAGCAAAUAAAAGAGUAUUAUGGAAAUAUUCCUUUAAAUAUACCUGCUUUUUUUUUCAAAGCAGCAAUAGACCUUAUAGGUUAACUUAAAGGUUGGUAAUAUGCUGUAGUGCACUGUAGUCUUAAAUAUGCACCUGUCAUCUGUUUUACCUAAAGCCAGGUCUGGUGACUAAUUGAUGAUACAUAUUUUCCUGUGUUUACCUUUCAUAUAAUAGUUGAGUUUUGAAUCCUAAUUGAUACACCCCAUAUCUUUCAGUUAUGCUUUGAUGACUUUUCCAAUCAUUUUCCCAUAAUACAGCCUAAAAUUAUCCUGCUUCUUAUUGUAUUACAGCUAACUGUACAAACAUUUUCUACAAUUUUUAUUACUAAAGUUCUCCUCUGGCAUUAUGGUGUCAAUUUUUGUAACUUUUAAUUACAAAAAUUUGCCAUAUGAUUUCCCUUCCACAUUUACCCCUUAUUUCUCUCUAGGUUGGACAUUUUCUAGGCUCAUGAUUUCUUUCACAUGAAUAGCAUCAUGUUUUAGCAUUACUUUACAAUUUAUCAUAAUUGCAAGGUUCAUGCUGUAUUAUAUUCAUCUCCACUUCCAGAAAGAUCAGUCAUCUUAAGCCUUUCAUUGUUUCUUACGUAUAUCUACGUUAUUGAUGCCAGUAUCACUCGUGUAGAUCUACGUUUUAAGCAUGGUGCUCUCAAAUAUGUCCUAAGAGUUAGUUUUGUCCUAGACUUGAGAGAGUGGGUCUGUGCAGUGAGUGUGCAUGGUGUUAAAUCCUGCCCCAUGCAGUGCAUGAGGGAAAAAGCAAAUCUCUGACCUUGUGUUUGGUUUAAAACAGCAUAUUUGAGGUGUAUUGGCAAUAUUUUGGUAUCAGUUGAUAAAAUGUAAAACAUAAUAAUGAAAUAGAAAUUAUUUUAGUUGGUUUCAGGACCAGAAAUCAGGCUCAAAGUAGCAGAAAUAUCCUAUUUUUGAUGAUUUUUCUGAGGAUGGAUGAGGUCCAUCCCCCUAGUAUAUUUUAUGGGUUUUUACUAGAUUUACUUUAAUUACUGGGAUGCCCUCAAUCAUGACUAAUCGUUUGUGGUUAUAUUUUAUUAUCUGAGAAGUAGGUUUUUUGUGUGAAGAUGAAUUCAAAAUGGAGGGUAAUUGUAAUAUAGGAGAGGCCUGGGAUGUGAUUAAUGAACAGAGGAAAUUCUCUGUACUUCAUAGGGUAGUUCUGAUAGUUGAAUGGGCAAUUUUUUGUGCUCAAUAGAAUGGUAGGCAUAUUGGUGAAAUAGCAGAAUUUGGUUGAAGUGAGCAAUAGAAUUGACUUAAAAAAAGGACUCAACAUGGGCAAAAUCACUCUUGUGUCCAGACCUUCAAUAUUGUGCCUGUGUAAUUCUGUAAGUUUUCCAUCAAAUUUCCUAUUUUUAGUGUUAUUUACCUUCAGAAAAGUUUCUCUACGUACAGUGUUAGCACUUUUAAUUGCAGGGCUUCUAAUAGCAAAGAGGCUAAUUACGCACAGUAUUCAGCAUUUGACUCCAUACAAUAUGCCAGACUAGCCACCUAAAGAGAAAUACUAAUACUGUAUCUUAAUGUACUUGAUGAAACAUUUCAGACCCGCUAUGUCCAACAACUGAAAUCUAUUAAAGCCACACUGGAAACAUCCACAUUCUUUAAAACUCAUGAGCUAAUAGGCAGCUCUCUGUUGUUUGUUCACAAUGACACUUCAGCCUUAGUUAGAAUGAUAGACUUUGCCAAGACCAUCCCACUUCCAGAAAAUGUACAUAUAACCCACCGUAGCCCUUGGUCAGAGGGAACCCAUGAAGAUGGGUAUCUACUAGGUCUGGAAAACCUCAUUGACUUGUUUUCAGUAAUAGAAAAGAACCUAACUAUGAAUGGUGAAAUCUCUAAGUUAGUGUCAUCUUCCUCUUCUGGCAAGCCAAGUGGCAGUGUUGCAGCCGUCUCACCCACCAGCAACAACCUCCACGUACAACCCGUCAGUAACACGUCAAGUUAGGUCUUCUUCUCAGUACAAGUAAAAGAAAAAAUGUACAAAUCCUCAGCUGUUUAGUAAUUUUACUGAAGUCAGAUCUUCUUUGUGUGUGAAGUUGUCUCAGAAAGGUUGUUGUGUAUGUUCUGCAGCUCAAACAGUGACAAAUUACUUGAUGAAGUGUGCCAUUAUAAAGACAAUUUUAAAAGGUGACAUCUUCAGUUUUUUUUGGAGUGAUGCAAAGUUUGGAGAGUAUUUUUUGUUUUUACUGUUCUGAAGUAAUGAACCUUUGUGUAUAAAAAAAUGUUUUAAGUGUUUAUCCCCUUGCAACCUCCUGGGACUAGUCAUAAUCUCCUGAGUAUAUUGUACAUGUCAAAUAGUUGAGUCCCAUCUCCAAGUUUAAGGCCAAUUUUCUUUGUGCCUUUCGUGUAUAUAUUUAUAUAUAUAUAUAUAUUGUACAUAGCCUUGAUUACCUCGUUUUACGUCCCAAGUCAUGAAGUAACUCAACAGUUAUCAACUGUUACGACUAAAUACUAAUAUGUACGUAGUCUUACACAUGCUCCACUAUUAAGAAGCAUACCAAAAGUCAGUAUCAUUUAGUCAGCACUAUUAAUACCCUGAAAAAUAUCGUUUGAUAUUUAUUAAAAAUGUGUUUCAUCAUUAAAUAUUAAUUUAUU